rnacentral:rRNA from 1 species
GGAUGGGCAUGCGGCGCAUUAGGUAGUUGGUGGGGCAACGGCCCACCAAGCCGACGAUGCGUAGGGGUUCUGAGAGGAAGGUCCCCCACAUUGGAACUGAGACACGGUCCAAACUCCUACGGAAGGCAGCAG